GGGAUUGCCCUAGUAACGGCGAGUGAAGCGGCAACAGCUCAAAUUUGAAAUCUGGCCCCCCGGCCCGAGUUGUAAUUUGUAGAGGAUGCUUCUGGGUAGCGACCGGUCUAAGUUCCUUGGAACAGGACGUCAUAGAGGGUGAGAAUCCCGUAUGCGACUGGCCCGCGCCCUCCACGUAGCUCCUUCGACGAGUCGAGUUGUUUGGGAAUGCAGCUCUAAAUGGGAGGUAAAUUUCUUCUAAAGCUAAAUACCGGCCAGAGACCGAUAGCGCACAAGUAGAGUGAUCGAAAGAUGAAAAGCACUUUGGAAAGAGAGUUAAAAAGCACGUGAAAUUGUUGAAAGGGAAGCGCUUACAACCAGACUUUGGGGCGGUGUUCCGCCGGUCUUCUGACCGGUCUACUCUCCGUCCCGAGGCCAACAUCAUCUGGGACCGCCGGACAAGACCUCAGGAAUGUAGCUCCCCCUCGGGGGAGUGUUAUAGCCUGUGGUGAUGCGGCGCGUCCCGGGUGAGGUCCGCGCUUCGGCAAGGAUGUUGGCGUAAUGGUUGUCAGCGGCCCGUCUUGAAACACGGACCAAGGAGUCUAACAUCUAUGCGAGUGUUCGGGUGUCAAACCCCUACGCGGAAUGAAAGUGAACGGAGGUGGGAAGGGGCAACCCUGCACCAUCGACCGAUCCUGAUGUCCUCGGAUGGAUUUGAGUAAGAGCAUAGCUGUUGGGACCCGAAAGAUGG
rnacentral:rRNA from 2 species